rnacentral:pre_miRNA from 1 species
CGGGGGAGACCGGAUCCUGGGCUGUGUCCUCGGCUCCCAGUGCUCCCGGGCCUGUGCUGUUGGAUUCGUGCUCCCGGUGGCGCAGCCCCCU